rnacentral:lncRNA from 12 species
AUGUGGGGCCGCGUCCUCCCUGACAGGAGCCCCGGCCUCCUUAGGACCCACGGACCCGCUGUCUAUGACUCAGGAACACAUGGGGCCACGUCCGCCAAGACAGGAGUCCGGCUUCCUCAGGACCCGCUGGAGGACCCUGGAGGCGCUGUUCAGAGUCACAUCCACCUCAGCAGGGCUACUCAGAACGACAAGGUCCACGUGGAAAGAGCUGAAUCAGACAGUUGGCUAGCGUCCUCUACAUCUCUCAAAAGCACAAUGAGUCAACAAGGCAUGGAGGGGAGAGCCUGCGAGAGAUCUGAGAGGCUGAAUCUGGCGCUGCCUCUCCAAGUCCCAGAGACUGAAGACACACUGAGCAGCCACCUUGACUGUCUGCUUUUAGGACUUCGUAUAAUGGCACUGAAUAGACCCUUACCCUUUCAGUGUCACUCAGCCGAGGCUCUUUGUCAACUCAACACUCUUCCAGCAACACGAAGAAAAUUUCACAGGAUGCCUGGGUGCCUCCGUCAGCUCAACUUUUAGCUUCAGCUCAGGUCAUGAUCUCAGGGGCACGAGAUUGAGCCCCGUGUUGGCCUCUGGCUCAGCACAGAGUCUGCUGGAGAUUCCCUCUCCCACCUCCUCUGCCCCUCCCCCAACUUGUGCACAUACUCUCUCUCUUAAAUAAAUAAAUAAAUAAACAAAUAAAUAAAUAAAUC